ACCUACGGGGGGCAGCAGUAGGGAAUUUUCGUCAAUGGGCGCAAGCCUGAACGAGCAAUGCCGCGUGAACGAGGAAGGUCUUCGGAUCGUAAAGUUCUGUUGAAGGGGAAAAAGAGCGGAGAGAGGAAAUGGUCUCCGAUUGAUAUUACCCUUCGAGGAAGUCACGGCUAACUACGUGCCAGCAGCCGCGGUAAUACGUAGGUGGCGAGCGUUAUCCGGAAUGAUUGAGCGUAAAGGGUGCGUAGGCGGCCUGCUAAGUCUGGAGUGAAAGGUACCGGCUCAACCGGUACAGGCUCUGGAAACUG
rnacentral:rRNA from 1 species